rnacentral:rRNA from 1 species
AGCGAACGCUGGCGGCGUGCCUAACACAUGCAAGUCGAACGAGAAAGGGGACUUCGGUCCCUGAGUACAGUGGCGCACGGGGUGAGUAACACGUGACUUAUCUACCCUCGAGUGGGGAAUAACUUCGGGAAACCGAGGCUAAUACCGCAUAAUACCCACGGGUCAAAGGAGCAAUUCGCUUGAGGAGGAGGUCGCGGCCCGAUUAGUUAGUUGGCGGGGUAAUGGCCCCCACCAAGACGGUGAUCGGUAUCCGGCCUGAGAGGGCGCACGGACACACUGGAACUGAAACACGGUCCAGACUCCUACGGGAGGCAGCAGGUGGGGUAAUUUUGCGCAAUGGGGGAAACCCUGACGCAGCAACGCCGCGUGGAGGAUGAAGUCUCUUGGGACGUAAACUCCUUUCGAUCGGGACGAUUAUGACGGUACCGGAAGAAGAAGCCCCGGCUAACUUCGUG